CCAGUCUGUGCUUCUUCAGUUGUAAAAUUCCCAGAGCGUCAGUGCAACUACAUAUCAGGCCUCCCCCACUGCACCGCCGCCCCGAUCACCAGCCUCCCCGGGCAUGGUACGCAACCCACUCCUUGUGCCACACCGUCCUCCAUGCCCUGCCCCGCGCCACCAGCCGCCGCCUCCCUCCCGCGCAACUUCUCCCAAGGCUUGCGCUCAGCGGCCGCGGGGGGAGCAUCGGGGUCGAGGAUCUUCAUCUCGGCAGUACAACUGCAUGCCUCGUCGACGUUCAUGAAAAGUGUUGCUGUUGUACACUCAACACAGGUGCACGCAGCAAUAAGGGAGAAGUUGUUGUUGUACACUCAACACAGGUGAACGCAGCAAUAAGGGAGAAGCGCACAUGAAGCAGGUGAGGAGGUGUGUGUGCGAGAGAUGAUACUCAACUUGUACUGCUGCUGUACUCGCGUGUGAAUGAUUCUUUUUUUUCCUGCUCAUUCUUGUACUGCUUGCCAUAAAAAAACCUGACGACAGAAUACUUGAUAUUUGUGUAUUCUAUCAUCAGUUCAUGGAGGAAAUUCUUUUUUCUUCAGUUUGUAUUCUAGC
rnacentral:rRNA from 1 species